CCUACGGGAGACUGCAGUGGGGGAUAUUGCACAAUGGGGGAAACCCUGAUGCAGCGACGCCGCGUGUAGGAAGACGGUCCUCUGGAUUGUAAACUACUGUCCCCAGGGACGAAGAUGACGGUACCUGGGGAGGAAGCUCCGGCUAACUCCGUGCCAGCAGCCGCUGUAAUACGUAGGGAGCGAGCGUUGUCCGGAAUUACUGGGUGUAAAGGGAGCGUAGGCGGGGAUGCAAGUUGGGUGUUAAAUCUACCGGCUCAACUGGUAGUCGCACUCAAAACUGCAGCUCUUGAGUGAAGUAGAGGCAGGCUGAAUUCCUAGUGUAGCGGUGAAAUGCGUAGAUAUUAGGAGGAACACCAGUGGCGAAGGCGGCCUGCUGGGCUUUUACUGACGCUGAGGCUCGAAAGUGUGGGGAGCAAACAGGAUUAGAUACCCGAGUAGUC
rnacentral:rRNA from 1 species